rnacentral:rRNA from 1 species
AAAGCGCACGUAGGCGGCUUUGUAAGUAAGAGGUGAAAGCCCAGGGCUCAACUCUGGAAUUGCCUUUUAGACUGCAUCGCUUGAAUCAUGGAGAGGUCAGUGGAAUUCCGAGUGUAGAGGUGAAAUUCGUAGAUAUUCGGAAGAACACCAGUGGCGAAGGCGGCUGACUGGACAUGUAUUGACGCUGAGGUGCGAAAGCGUGGGGAGCAAACAGGAUUAGAUACCCGAGU